GGGAUUUCCUUGGUUGGUUUCCAUAGCUUGAUAGACCAAAAACAGAAACACGGCCACAACAGCAAACAGUAACACUUUUAUCCACAUGGGGACGGAGCGUCUCUUCUUUGUCUUUUCUGACUUGACAUCUGCCAAAGGAGCGUACUUCGGGAUGUACUUAGAUGAAAACGACUCUUCCAUCCUGAAGUCACUGAGCUCGAGCGGCCGGCCUGCAGCGCCUUUGAUUGGUCUGCGGCAGCUAGCACUGUUCAAAGUGAAACAGAAUUCCAGAUGAUUCAACAACAAACCUUCAUGUGACUGCUUAGCACACUGCAAAAUGCAGCAGGAGAGAAUCGUCAGAUAAAAGCAGAGGAUCUACUUAUCACAUACUUUUCUUUUCUUUUUUGGUUUUUCAAGACAGGGUUUCUCUGUGUAGCACUGGCUGUCCUGGAACUCACUCUGUAGACCAGAGCUGUUAUAGAGCAACCAUGUUUCGAACACUCCAAAAUAAGUUAGCUGUAUCAUUAUAAAAUAGUAUUUAGGAUAAAUACUCUCUAAGCCUGUCUUAGAGGCUCAGUAGUGUACUGUGUGCCUGUGAUCGCAGCACUUGGGAAGUAUGUCACAAGUCUUAACAUCUGCCUUGCAUACAUGGUAAAUCCAAGAUCAGCCUGGUGAUCUGAGAACUUGUCUCAAAAAAGAAAAUAAAACUU
rnacentral:lncRNA from 1 species